rnacentral:rRNA from 1 species
CUGGUGUACCAGUUGUUCUGCCAAGAGCACCGCUGGGUAGCUACGUAUGGAUUAGAUAAUCGCUGAAAGCAUCUAAGUGAGAAACUAACCUCGAGAUGAGAUUUCCCAUUCGUCAGAAGUAAGACCCCUGAGAGACGAUCAGGUAGAUAGGCUAGAAGUGGAAGUGUAGUGAUGCAUGGAGCGGACUAGUACUAAUAGGUCGAGGACUUAACCAAG